CUGACCGUGGCGCAAUUGGUAGACGCAAGGGCGGGCCGUUCCCCCUCGUUGUACGUCACGGCCUCCAGUCCCGUAUGGGACUCAAAGAAGGCGAAACACGUAUGAAGGUUCAAAUCCUUCCGGUCAGC
rnacentral:tRNA from 1 species